rnacentral:lncRNA from 9 species
GCGAGCGAGGCAGCGAGGUGAGCGGCUCCCAGUCCUCGGCGACUGGCCGCUGGCCCCUCCCGCCACGGUCGCGACGCCUCUGAGCGAGCACCGCAAAGCCCAGAGGACGCGGAGAGGGGAAGGAGGCUGGGGGCGCGGCGAGCCCCCGGUCACCAUCGCACGGCGCUGCGGCGGACGCGGCCGGCUCACGUUGCAAAACCACCUGUUCGAUCCGAAGGGAGCUCCCCCCACCCCCACGCAGCUCUGCUCUCCUCGCAGGUGACACCUCGGUUCCCCCAAAGAUAAUUUUUUUUUAAUGGAGCAAAUGCACAUCCGGGAAAGAAUAUGGAAGGUAGACUGGAUUAAACUUCCUCCCCUCACACACUUGGAAGCCCCCCGCACUCCCGGGUACACGCACGCUGAGGUGAAUUCGAGAGCCUCACACAGGCAGCCCACACGCUCAUUCCACCGCGGAACGACAGCACAGGUCAAGGUUCGAGCAGCCACAUCCUUCCCGAAAACUGCACAAGUGAGAGGGAAGGGGAGCGGGAAGGGGCAAUGAACCAGAGCCACCGCCAACGAGCCACACAGAGGGCGGAGAGGGGGAAGCCAAAGGGAAACAUUCGCAAAUGCAAAAGGUAAAAGUGCCCACGGGCAGCACCAGCCCUUUCUUACCGAUGUGAAUGAUCGAAUCCGCAUUCGCCGAGUCCCAGGUUCGAGACAACCAGGCGGACAAAACCAAGAGCAAGGGGAAAACUUCCAUCUCCUCCUACGCUGAUUCUCUUUUAGGAUAGAUUUCCUUUCAAUAUUAAAAAAAAAUUUUUUUUUUCGAAGUCCAAAGAGUUUGAGGUCACGACAGAGUUUAGCACAGCUUUUUUUUCUUUUUCUCAAUUCCUGUCACCAGAGCAAAGCUUUUAGUCGUCGUUGAGGAAGGCAGAGCGAAGAAGAGGAGCCCAGCCGGAGGAAAGCGCCUUCGCCAAGCCGUGUCACUUGGAGGGGAAUUCUGGCAUCGCCAGAGUUGUUUGCAGUUUGGCUUUUUAAAAAUGUAUCCAGCCUGGCUGCUCCCGGGCAGGGGGAGAGGCUGGAGCUCAGACCAUCCCCAUCGCUGCGCGGGGGCCGCGGGUCUCCGGUCCCAGCUCCGCCGCAACUUCCAACAGACCACCCCCCCGCCUUCACGCCGGAUGUUCCCCUCCCCCUCCCCCCGCCGAAAAAGCCCCCUCCCCCCGCCCCAACGGCCCGCAGAGAAUCACUUGUCUUCGCUGCCAAAAUAAAAUCUAAGUGCAAAGGAAAGAUUAGGAGAUUCCAAGCGGAGCGGCCAGAUUCCAGCAGGGAGAGCAAAAAGCCCUCUCCAAGAGGGGUAGUAAAAGUGAACUUCAAGGUCAGCCUUGCACUGACUCACCACUUUCUACUCUGUCAAACUGUUUUCCCCAUGACACGAGUGCAAUUUUAUCUUUGGUAAGUCCCCAUCCUUCCUUACUCCCUCCCUUCUUUCUUCCUUCCUUCCACAGAAAGCUCUUAAUCCCAUCCUCCCUUUCAGAACUUGCCCUA